CCUGAGCGUGGGGCAGCUGUGGUCUCAACACUGACCCGCCUUUCAUUGUCACAUCAUUCGUCAUGUGGCUGCUCAGGAGCUAGGCCCCCAUCUCCAUCCGGGUCUCCUUGUCCUUUCCUGUUCUACCUACCCCAUAGCCCUUGACCUCUAAUGUGCUCAGCACCAAGCCCACAUGAUUGGAUGGCCCACAUGAUUGGACGGCCCACAUGGACUGGUGCUGCUGUCUUGCCUCUGCUGUGUCAGCAGCCGGCACGGAGCCUGGCAGAUAAGGAGGGCUCACUCCGUAAGUAUUUGUUAGUUGUUGAGUGGAACUGAGAGGCCGGAAUCGGGGGCUGGGAACCACAUAAGGGUUCUGGGACCUUCUCAGUAGGUGAAGGGUCUGCCUGGUGAAGGGAGCAUGCAUGCUACACAGUGUGGGGGAGGGAUACCCUUGGUCCUUUCCCUGGGUGGGGGGGGGGGGGUCAGGCCAGAUGCAUUUCCAUCCGGGUCCAGUUUGCACCACCUCUCUGCUUUCUUCCAGGCACCAGCCAUCUCCCUUAGGAGAAUCUCCCUGGGUCCCAACGUUGGCAGUCACCAGCGGACGGAGCCGCAGUGCCCCCAGCUAGCCAAUUCCAAGCAGAAGGCAACGGGCUGUUGGCCUGGCAUGGGAAGGCCCGUGUUUCCGUCCAUGGCCACCUCUGGACCUGUUCAUUCAGAGACCUCUGUUGAGCCCGUCCUCUGCCCAGGCUCCGCUACCUCAGCACGGCCUCAUGGGAGGACCACGUGA
rnacentral:lncRNA from 1 species